rnacentral:rRNA from 1 species
AGCGAACGCUGGCGGUAGGCCUAACACAUGCAAGUCGAACGGCAGCACAGUAAGAGCUUGCUCUUACGGGUGGCGAGUGGCGGACGGGUGAGGAAUACAUCGGAUUCUACUUUUUCGUGGGGGAUAACGUAGGGAAACUUACGCUAAUACCGCAUACGACCUACGUGUGAAAGCAGGGGAUCUUCGGACCUUGCGCGAUUGAAUGAGCCGAUGUCGGAUUAGCUAGUUGGCGGGGUAAAGGCCCACCAAGGCGACGAUCCGUAGCUGGUCUGAGAGGAUGAUCAGCCACCCGGGAACAGAGACACGGUCGAGACAUCUACGCGAGGAAGCAGUGGGAAAUAUUGGACAAGGGGCGCAAGCCUAAUCCAGCGAUACCGCGUGAGUCAAGAAGGCCUUAGGGUUGUAAAGCCAUUUUGUUGGGAAAGAAAAGCAGCAGUUUAAUACCCCGCUGUUCUGACGGUACCCAAAGAAUAAGCACCGGCUAACUUCGUG